UGGGGAAUCUUGCGCAAUGGCCGAAAGGCUGACGCAGCGACGCCGCGUGUGGGAGGACGCCCCUCGGGGUGUAAACCACUGUUGCCCGGGACGAACAGCUUCUUUCGAGGAGCCUGACGGUACCGGGUGAGGAAGCACCGGCUAACUCCGUGCCAGCAGCCGCGGUAAUACGGAGGGUGCGAGCGUUGUCCGGAAUCACUGGGCGUAAAGGGCGCGUAGGCGGCGCGGUAAGCGUGCGGUGAAAGCCCGGGGCUCAACCCCGGGUCGGCCGUGCGGACUGCCGGGCUCGAGCACUGUAGAGGCGGGUGGAAUUCCGGGUGUAGCGGUGGAAUGCGUAGAGAUCCGGAAGAACACCGGUGGCGAAGGCGGCCCGCUGGGCAGUGGCUGACGCUGAGGCGCGACAGCGUGGGGAGCAAACAGGAUUAGAUACCCUGGUAGUCCACGCCGUAAACGAUGGGCACUAGGUGCCUCGGGGAGCGACCCCCGGGGUGCCGGCGCUAACGCAUUAAGUGCCCCGCCUGGGGAGUACGGCCGCAAGGC
rnacentral:rRNA from 1 species